rnacentral:lncRNA from 1 species
GUUCGGGCACCACCACAACCAGGCACCGGCGGCGCCGUCGGACCCGAACCAGAUCUUCAAGAUCUUCUGCCGCGCCAACGAGAACUACUGCCUCACCGUCCGCGACAGCGCCGUCGUCCUCGCCCCCGUCAACCCCAAGGACGAGCACCAGGUCAGGUCCCCCUUCUUAUAUAUGCCUUUUCUUUUGUUUCUAUAUUCGAUCGGAUUUUGAUGUAUACUGAAAUGGAAUGAAUUGAAAUGCAGCACUGGUUCAAGGACAUGAGGUUCAGCACCAAGGUGAAGGACGGGGAGGGCAUGCCGGCGUUCGCCCUCGUCAACAAGGCCACCGGACUCGCCGUCAAGCACUCCCUCGGCCAGUCCCACCCCGUAAUACUAUAUUUCUAUUUUGCUGCUAGCUUUGUGCGUGCUGCCAUGGAAGAUCGAAGAACGUUGACUUCGAUGUCAUGGACUCAUGGCGGGUGAUGGGUGUGCAGGUGAAGCUUGUGCCGUUCAACCCGGAGUACGAGGACGCGUCGGUGCUGUGGACGGAGAGCAAGGACGUCGGCAAGGGCUUCCGCUGCAUCCGCAUGGUCAACAACACCCGCCUCAACUUGGACGCCUUCCACGGCGACAAGGACCACGGCGGCGUCCGCGACGGCACCACCGUCGUGCUCUGGGAGUGGUGCAAGGGCGACAACCAGAGCUGGAAGAUCCUCCCCUGGGGCCCCGAGGCUCACUCCUCCUCCCCCGGCGCCGCCACCGCCUGCACCAUCGGCGGCGUCCCCGUCCACACCGUCCGCGUCUUCUCCGCCGCAGGCGAGGACUACUGCCUCACCGUCCGCAACGGCACCGCCUGCCUCGCCCCCAAGAACCCCAGGGACGACUACCAGGUACGUAUUCUCCUCUUAAUUAUAUACUACUAUUCAGAUAGAGAAAAACCUUGAGAGAUUUGUGGUUGUGGUUUGUAGCACUGGAUCAAGGACAUGAGGCACAGCAACAAGAUCAGGGACGAGGAAGGCUACCCGGCGUUCGCGCUGGUCAACAAGGUCACCGGCGAAGCCAUCAAGCACUCCACCGGACAGGGCCACCCGGUGAGCAAAUCUUUUCUUACAAAAUAAAUAUUUUCUUACAUAUGCAACGAAUCUCUGAAUCACAACGAACGAUUUUCUCUGCGCAUGCAGGUGAAGCUGGUUCCCUACAACCCAGAGUACCAGGACGAGUCUGUGCUGUGGACGGAGAGCAAGGAUGUGGGCAAGGGCUUCCGCUGCAUCCGCAUGGUGAACAACAUCUACCUCAACUUCGACGCCUUCCAUGGCGACAAGGAUCACGGCGGCAUCCACGAUGGCACCGAGAUCGUGCUGUGGAAGUGGUGCGAGGGUGACAACCAGCGCUGGAAGAUCCUCCCCUGGUGUAAGUUCCACCGCUAACAAUGCACAAUGCCAUCGCUGAUCGAUUAAUUUCCUUCGGAUCCUCUGAAGAAAUCAGAGAUUCUGACACUUGGAUUGCUGCUUCUUUGCAUCUGCAGAGAU